rnacentral:rRNA from 1 species
GACGAACGCUGGCGGCGUGCUUAACACAUGCAAGUCGAGCGGAAAGGCUCCUUCGGGGGUACUCGAGCGGCGAACGGGUGAGUAACACGUGAGUGAUCUGCCCUUCACUUUGGGAUAACUGCCUGAAAGGGUGGCUAAUACCGGAUACUCCUAUCAUGUCGCAUGGUGUGGUGGGGAAAGCUUUUGUGGUGGGGGAUGUGCUCGCGGCCUAUCAGCUUGUUGGUGGGGUAAUGGCCUACCAAGGCUUUGACGGGUAGCCGGCCUGAGAGGGUGACCGGCCACACUGGGACUGAGACACGGCCCAGACUCCUACGGGAGGCAGCAGUGGGGAAUAUUGGACAAUGGGCGGAAGCCUGAUCCAGCAACGCCGCGUGAGGGAUGACGGCCUUCGGGUUGUAAACCUCUUUCAGCACAGACGAAGCUGCCUCCACGUGUGGGGGUGGUGACGGUAUGUGCAGAAGAAGCACCGGCCAACUACGUGCCAGCCGCCGCCGUAACAC